rnacentral:lncRNA from 1 species
CCCUGAAGUUGAAAGGUUUUCCUUCGUGCCCAUCUUCAGGCAUCUUCAGCAAGAGUCCAGCAACAGGCCGGGUAGUGAGCCGCAAUGAAUAAGGCAUAUGGGGACACAAGUUUAAUAUCCAUACCAAGAUAAGAGAGAGUAAUGGUUAAGUGAUCACAAGUAUUUUCUUCUUAAAUUCCCAUACCUCAUUAUGUAAUUUCUAUAAAUUAUCACAGUCCAUAAUGUUAAUCAUAGGGGUGAAUCAUCUAAAACCAGGUUAGUUUACCGAAGUCUUGUGGUUCCACACUCUGGAAUUUUCGAUUCUGCAGGGCAGAAAAUAAAUAUCAAUCAUGUUAGUAACCCAUGAAGUUUUGUGGUGGCGCAGUUGGCUAGCGCGUAGGUCUCAUAGCUAAGCGAGUGAUCCUGAGGUCGAGAGUUCGAGCCUCUCUCACCCCAAUGUUUUUUUAGGCUCAGAAGCAGUUGAGCUCCUCAGGAGAGUGCAGAAGAUAAUGGAUAGCAACGUCAGUUGAGCUCUUCAGGAGAGUGCAGAAGAUAAUGGAUAGCAACGUGAUGACUGCAGGUUCGAACGAAUAUGUAUUUAGGAGAAUCGGGUUUGCUAUCCAGAAAGGACUUGCCGCGCAGUUUGUAGCGCGUUUGUCCUCUACUUUUGUGUAAUUCGUUGAGCUUAUCAAUAAAAUUUGAAUUAAAUUUAAAAAAAAAAAAUAAAAAAAUGUAACAAUGAAGUCGGGUGAUGUUACUUACACUACAUUAAAUUCAUCCUCACCCGAAUGUCCUUGACAUGAAACACAAGCUCUUGGUUCUUUGAUGCAGCUGCAUUACAUGUACCACACCAUAAGAGGAAGACAACGAUUCAGGAUUUCAUUCCGAAGGAGCCUCCCCUUUUGGGGUAACCCCCAAACCCUUAAGGGUUGGGGGAUAAACGGGACGGACGGGGGUUAAUAAUGAAAACAAAAUUUAACUUCAAAAUUUAAUCAUGGAAACAGUUUUUCUAUUGUUUUCUCCCAUGUUUGUUUCUCGACAAUAAGGUUUUGAUAGGUUUUUUCGAUAAAUAACUUC